rnacentral:lncRNA from 1 species
UAAUGAGUCUUUCUUUAAUCAUAAAUUUAUUUUUAGUUAUUUUAAUUGAUAAAUUUGUGAGGUUUUGACUUUAGCCAACCUCAUGAAUUUAAUAAAUAACCACAAGACUAACUCUUUUAAGGAAUAUUUAUUUAAUUAAUGACUUAUAUUGUUUUUCAUCAGUCUUUAUCACACUAGUAUAUUACUUGGAGUUUGUGUUACUCAUUAUCAAAUCUACUACCAAAUGGAAAUGGUAAGAUGGUGAACUGGAAGCAGAAAUGGCAUGCCACCCAGCAGUUGCCACUUUCACUAUAAUAAUAUGUAAAUUUGUCUAUAUUCUAUUGUUUAUUUGAGAAUCAAAUGAUUUGCAUAAUAUCUGUGAUAUUAUGCAAAUCAUCUGAUUCUCAAAUAGUACCUGGGGCAUGGUUUCAUGUGUAUGCAAGCCAUCUGCUCGUCAGUACAAACAAUUCACCACCUUUCCCAUCAGAAUUCUCAUGUUGCCAUUCAGUGCUCAUCCAAAAUCUUUUGUUAAAAUGUUAUUGUUAUGUACCAAUUCAUCAUAAUAUUUGUUAUUUUUAUUAUUAUUAUUUAAUAUUUUUUGGAACUUCAUCAUCACAUUAAUUGAAUUCUAGUAUUGUGGAUUGAAGGAUUUUUCGUCCAAAUUUUCUAUUAACCAAUGUUCAGAAGAUUGUGAUGUCUUACAGAAUCCCUGGUAAUGGACCAGACAACAAGGGCACUCAUCAGUGGAUUAAGGAGAUCUGAUCAUUGUCAUUGCUAUCUCUUAGGUUGAACAAUGAGUUGAUGGGCAAGCUGGGACUGUACCUCUGGAUUAAAUCCUACAAAUUUUGUAAUUGUAAUUUUAUUUUCACUUAUUGCAGUUAUGAUUCAUAGAUACAUAAACUGAUUAUCUAUUUUAUACACAAAUAAAAUAGAUAAACUGAUAAAGUAGAAACUGAGUGGGGUGCUGAUGGUAAAUGAUAGGAUCAUUUACCAUC